rnacentral:rRNA from 1 species
AGGGGGAUAACAGUUAGAAAUGACUGCUAAUACCGCAUAAGCGCACAGUGCUGCAUGGCACAGUGUGAAAAACUCCGGUGGUAUGAGAUGGACCCGCGUCUGAUUAGCUAGUUGGUGGGGUAACGGCCUACCAAGGCGACGAUCAGUAGCCGGCCUGAGAGGGUGAACGGCCACAUUGGGACUGAGACACGGCCCAAACUCCUACGGGAGGCAGCAUG